CAGCCGCCGCGGUAAUACGAAGGGCGCGAGCGUUACCCGGAUUUACUGGGCGUAAAGGGCGUGUAGGCGGCCUGGGGCGUCCCAUGUGAAAGGCCACGGCUCAACCGUGGAGGAGCGUGGGAUACGCUCAGGCUAGAGGGUGGGAGAGGGUGGUGGAAUUCCCGGAGUAGCGGUGAAAUGCGCAGAUACCGGGAGGAACGCCGAUGGCGAAGGCAGCCACCUGGUCCACUUCUGACGCUGAGGCGCGAAAGCGUGGGGAGCAAACCGGAUUAGAUACCCCAGUAGUCCCUGUCUCUUAUAC
rnacentral:rRNA from 1 species